CAUAAGGCUGCACCGAGCACCACAUCUGUAGAGUUUCGGCAUAAGCAAGAUGGCCUUUAUUAAAGAUGAGAGUGAAGAUAUGAAGAUUAAACAAGAGUUCAGAGUCAAAGAUGAAGAUACUGAGGAACAAACAAGAUUUACACAAGCUCCAGUCUGGAUCCAGAACACCUGAGAAG